CGAGAAAGCCCGCAAGGGUGAGUAAAGCGGCGCACGGGUGCGUAACACGUGGGUAAUCUGCCCUAGAGUCCGGAAUAACUCGCCGAAAGGCGUGCUAAUGCCGGAUGAGACCACGGGAGCCUCGGCUCCUGCGGGAAAAGAUGGCCUCUGUAUACAAGCUAUCGCUCUAGGAUGAGCCCGCGGCCCAUCAGCUCGUUGGCGGGGUAAUGGCCCACCAAGGCUACGACGGGUAGCUGGUCUGAGAGGACGAUCAGCCACACUGGAACUGAGACACGGUCCAGACUCCUACGGGAGGCAGCAGUGGGGAAUCUUGCGCAAUGGGCGAAAGCCUGACGCAGCAACGCCGCGUGUGUGACGAAGGUCUUCGGAUCGUAAAGCACUGUCGCGAGGGACG
rnacentral:rRNA from 1 species